AUUGAACGCUGGCGGCAUGCUUUACACAUGCAAGUCGAACGGCAGCGCGGGCUUCGGCCUGGCGGCGAGUGGCGAACGGGUGAGUAAUACAUCGGAACGUGCCCAGUAGUGGGGGAUAGCUCGGCGAAAGCCGGAUUAAUACCGCAUACGACCUGAGGGUGAAAGCGGGGGAUCUUCGGACCUCGCGCUAUUGGAGCGGCCGAUGGCAGAUUAGCUAGUUGGUGGGGUAAAGGCCUACCAAGGCGACGAUCUGUAGCUGGUCUGAGAGGACGACCAGCCACACUGGGACUGAGACACGGCCCAGACUCCUACGGGAGGCAGCAGUGGGGAAUUUUGGACAAUGGGCGAAAGCCUGAUCCAGCAAUGCCGCGUGUGUGAUGAAGGCCUUCGGGUUGUAAAGCACUUUUGGCGGGAACGAAAAGGACUGUGCCAAUACCACGGUCGAUGACGUACCCGCAGAUAG
rnacentral:rRNA from 1 species